GCCCCUAUUGCUCAGUGGUAGAGCGUCAAUCUUGUAAACUGAAGGUCUGUAGUUUGAUCCUGCAUGGGGGCA
rnacentral:tRNA from 1 species